rnacentral:rRNA from 1 species
GCUUGUCUCAAAGAUUAAGCCAUGCAUGUCUAAGUAUAAACUGCUUAUACUGUGAAACUGCGAAUGGCUCAUUAAAUCAGUUAUAGUUUAUUUGAUGGUACUUUCUACUCGGAAUAACCGUAGUAAUUCUAGAGCUAAUACGUGCGUAAAUCCCGACUUCUGGAAGGGACGUAUUUAUUAGAUAAAAGACCGACCGGGCUCUGCCCGACCCGCGGUGAAUCAUGAUAACUUCACGAAUCGCACAGGCUUGUCCUGGCGAUGUUUCAUUCAAAUUUCUGCCCUAUCAACUUUCGAUGGUAAGGUAUUGGCUUACCAUGGUUACAACGGGUAACGGGGAAUUAGGGUUCGAUUCCGGAGAGGGGGCCUGAGAAAUGGCCACCACUUCCAAGGAAGGCAGCAGG